rnacentral:rRNA from 1 species
CCUACGGGAGGCAGCAGUGAGGAAUAUUGGUCAAUGGACGAGAGUCUGAACCAGCCAAGUAGCGUGAAGGAUGACUGCCCUAUGGGUUGUAAACUUCUUUUAUAUGGGAAUAAAACGUUCCACGUGUGGGAUUUUGUAUGUACCAUAUGAAUAAGGAUCGGCUAACUCCGUGCCAGCAGCCGCGGUAAUACGGAGGAUCCGAGCGUUAUCCGAAUUUAUUGGGUUUAAAGGGAGCGUAGGUGGAUUGUUAAGUCAGUUGUGAAAGUUUGCGGCUCAACCGUAAAAUUGCAGUUGAAACUGGCAGUCUUGAGUACAGUAGAGGUGGGCGGAAUUCGUGGUGUAGCGGUGAAAUGCUUAGAUAUCACGAAGAACUCCGAUUGCGAAGGCAGUUCACUGGACUGCAACUGACACUGAGGCUCGAAAGUGUGGGUAUCAAACAGGAUUAGAUACCCGAGUAGUC